UAAUAAUAAUAAUAAUAAUAAUAUGUUUCAAAAAAAAUAAUAUAUGGUAUUUUCACCGAUAAAUGGGCUAAAAGAACAAUUACGAAAGAACGUUUUAUACAAGUUUAAUAGUAUUUAAAUUAAAUAAAUAUUUAUAUGUAAAAAUAAUUAAUGUGUAUAUAUAAUUAAAAUAAAUUUUAAUAUAAAAUUAAUAAUAUUGUUUUAGUAAGAUUAUAUUUAUAGUAAUUGUUACUUUAAAAUAUUAUAAAAAUAAUAAUAAUGGAAAGAGAAAAAGAUAUUGAGACUUAUUUAAUUUGAUUUAAUGAUAAGAAGACAUUAUUUAAGAUUGAGUUCCUCUAUUUAAAAAAUAGCAAGAAAAAAAAUAAAAAGAAAAAUAGAAAGAAAGUAGAUGAAAGAAAAGAUGAGCGAAGAAGAGAAGAGGUAUUGGACGUGGGUGCAUCAAAGUGCUGACCGAUGACCACGUGAUUUCAUCUCAAGUGAAUAUUUGAAAGUGCACGCGGUUAACAAAGAAUGGUUGCAAUUAUUAGUAAGAAAAGUAUGUUUCCAUUUUAUUCUGUAAUCCGCAUGAUUUCGCAAACUCUUCAAUAACAAUAUCCAAUACAUCCAGCCCUACCACUCCACAAUUGUGCUCAAAACUAACCAGGGGGUUGUGUAACAGCAACCAAAAAUUCAUUAACUUGAUUGGCUAGCAUCAUACUAACGAAACAAAAAAGGCAAAAAUGGAAAAAAUCAUAGUAGCUAAAAUGCUGCACAGUUCACCUGAUCAUUUCCAAAAGGAUGUGUCAUCUUCCAAAAAAAUCCACUCGUCUCCUAAACCAAGUCUCCUCUGGGUCUAUGAAUUCCCUUCUUCAUGAGUAGGAUCCAAAACCACCACCACCAACAACGAAGCUUAUUCAAAUAUAACACCAGGAAGAGAACCAGAUGGUGAAGAGUCCACAAAAAUCCGCCAUGUAUAUUGCCAGAGGGUUCUCAGAUCAAGGUUGGAGACUUCUCUUGUUACUAGUUCCUCCUCUUUCUCUCACUGUUUUUAUCUGUGUAUACGCUACACCCCUUAGUACUUUUUCCACUUUCGCCCCUCUCGCUUCCUUUUUCUUCAACAGGACCGUCAAUUCCACCACUUCAGCUGAUGAUCCUUGUGUGUUGCCAUUGAAUCGAAGCCAGCCAGUGGGGGUGAGGUCGUGGAAGGAUGAAUUGUACCGAUCAAGAAUGGCGGUUUGUUUGGUCGGUGGGGCUCGUAGAUUUGAGCUUACUGGACCAUCGAUUGUGGAGAAUAUUCUAAAUUUGUAUCCAAACUCAGACCUCUUUUUGCACAGUCCUUUAGACAAAAAUGCAUUCAAGUUCUCGCUCUUGAAAGUCGCCCCCAGAAUCGCAACCGUCCGCAUCUUUCAGCCCAAACCCAUACCGGAAACAGAGGCUGAGGUCCGAGUUCUGACCGCCGCGAAUUCCCCAAAUGGCAUCCAGGGGCUAUUGCAGUACUUCAAUCUCGUAGAGGGGUGUCUCACAAUGAUAGAGGAGUACCAAGCCCAAAACAACUUCAAAUACGACUGGGUUGUCCGUACCCGAGUUGAUGGCUACUGGAACGCCCCACUUGGCCCACAAAACUUCAUUGCUGGUCACUACCUGGUUCCAUCGGGCUCCACCUACGGCGGGCUCAACGACCGCCUCGGUAUUGGCGAUUUUAACUCCUCAAAGGUGGCCCUCUCGCGUCUGUCUCUCAUCCCCAAACUUGACUCUGCCGGGUUACGCUUGCUCAACUCGGAAACCUCCUUCAAGGCCCAACUCACCACCUACGGCGUUCCCCUCGUUACCAAACGCCUCCCUUUCUGCAUUGUCACGGACCGCAAGUACCGGUUCCCACCGUACCGGUUUGGUGUUCCUGUGGCAACAUUGUCGAGCCCCGGUCCGCUGAGCGGCGCCAAGUGCCGGCCGUGCACUCGAGUGUGUGAAGGGAGCUGCGUUGCAGGUGUAAUGCCAUUGCUUAAUAAGGGUUGGAGCUGGACUAAUUGGGAAAAUGGGACACUGAAGCUAUGUGAUGCUCAUGCUGAAUGGGAAAGGGGGUGGGAGAAGAUUUUUGACGAGGUAGCGGGGAAGAAACGCGCCGCCGUGAGGAAGCGGAUUUCGGGUCUGAAAUUGAAGCAAUGUGUGAAUGAUUUUAAUGAAAUGAACAGGCGGAGUUCUAAGUGGGAGUCUCCUCCGCCAGAGGAGAUAUGUAAGUUGGGCGUUGGACCGAAAUAAGAGGGUGGGGGUGAGUUGUUAGGGGGAGCCUGUGGAAAGAGAGAAACCAAGAGCGUAUUUUUGGGUUUAUGGUAGGUGUUUUUUCUUCAUGCAAGUAGGUAGAUUGGAUCAUUCUCCUAUAAAUUUUUUUUUUUAUGUAAAUAUACUUAAAAAAUGCUUUAAAAAUAUAAUUUUAAA
rnacentral:misc_RNA from 1 species